rnacentral:lncRNA from 1 species
UAUUCAUCAAAGUGAGUAAAUAUUGCCACCUGAUGUGAACUAAACACUGAAGCAGAGCAUUAACUCUCAAACUGAUGACAAUAAUUGCUCCCUUUGGUAGUGUCUUGUAGCUUCUCUACUUAUUUCACUUCUACUUCUGAGUUCAUUUCCUAUCAGCAGGAAUUAAAUGAACAGAUCAUUACAGGUAAGAGAAAAAAGAGAAAAGAAAUAAUGUUACAGGCGCUCACUAUACCACUCUCCAUUUCAUUGGAACUUGGCUGGUGCAUGCAUCCUUCCAAUCCAACACACUAUUGUAACAAGGGGACCCAGCAUGACCGGAAGGGCCCAUCAACAACGUGGUUGGCGUGCCAAACAUGCUAAUGUCCCCACUGUUCUUUUGGAUGGCCACAAGUAAAUGCAAAUAGUUCUUAUGUUCUCUAGGUCUACAGGAUCCAUAGAAGCAUACAUGUAAGUUGUAGGGUACCUUGCCCAACCGACAAUUGAUGUUCAAGGUAUAAACCAGCAGCAACUACAGUGGCAGCAUUAAAUCACAAUAGUAUGAAGUGAUG